UACAGAGGCCCCAAGCGUUACUGAGAAUCACUGGGUUUAAAGGGUGCGUAGGUGGCGCGUUAAGUCUGUUGUGAAAUCCCUGGGCUCAACCCAGGAACUGCGUCCGAUACUGGUUGGCUUGAAUCCGGGAGAGGGAUGUGGAAUUCCAGGUGUAGCGGUGAAAUGCGUAGAGGUCCGGAAGAACACCAGUGGCGAAGGCGGCCCGCUGGGCAGGUGGCUGACGCUGAGGCGCGAGCAGCGUGGGGAGCAAACGAGG
rnacentral:rRNA from 1 species